rnacentral:tRNA from 1 species
GCGCAGGUGACGGUUCCUUCGUCUACCAAACGGAAGACCCGGGUUCGAAUCCCGGCCUGCUCU